AGUCUCCUACCGUGUUCGCCAGGCCAUAUAUUCCUUGAACCAUUUAUGUGCAUAGGCUGAGGAAAUUGUUCAAUGGCGUGAGCGUCGCUUAUGUCCGAUGAACCCGAUUUGAACUGACCUUGGCCAACUUGAACCGCCAGGUUCAGGAUGCCGGCCAGCGGCAUAGGUGGGGCCUU
rnacentral:other from 1 species